rnacentral:rRNA from 2 species
AGAGCCAGAAAAGGAUGCCUUGGGUGAGAAAGCCGAUGAAAGACCUAGUUGAUUGGGAAAAGCUACGACAAGAUGUCAACAAUCGUUAUAGUCGUAGAUAUCUGAAUGGGGAAACCUAUCCUUCGGGAUGCUCGCUUAGUCGAGACGGCAAGCUUGGGAAGUGAAAUAUCUCAGUACCAAGAAGAAAAGAAAUCGUAAGAGAUUCCGUUAGUAGUGACGAGCGAACGCGGAGGAGUCUAAACCAGUUAUUGUGUCAAGGUUCUAGCCGUUGCAUAAUUGGGGUUGUAGGAGUAUUAUUGAUAAGCUAGUAAUUAUCUGCAAAGUCAAAAAAUAUGUCGAGAGGGGAAGGCUCUGGAAAGUGCCACCAUAGGGAGUGAAAGUCUCGUACUCGUAUUGUCAUAUCUUUGUUUAUACCACCUGAGUAACGUCAGACACGAGAAAUCUGGCGUGAAGCUAGGCAGACCACUGUCUAAGACUAAAUACUUUCUCACACCGAUAGCGCAUAGUACCGUGAGGGAACGGUGAAAAGAACCGCGGGUAGCGGAGUGAAAUAGAUCCUGAAAUUUCUGGCUCACAAGGGAGUGGGAGCCUUUAUUGGUGACCGCGUACCUAUUGAGGAAUGGGUCAGCGAGUAAUUGACAGUAGCAAGGUUAAGGCAAUUGUAGCCGGAGCCGUAGCGAAAGCAAGUCUGAAUAGGGCGUUUAGUUGCUGUUAAUUGACCCGAAGCGUUAUGAGCUAGUCAUGGCCAGGUUGAUCUGUCGCGAAGGCGACAAGGAGGACCGAACCGGUUGGAACUGCAAAUCCUUCGGAUGAGCCGUGUCUAGGAGUGAAAAGCUCAUCGAAUAACGUGAUAGCUGGUUCUCUCCGAAACAAAUUUAGGUUUGACCUGCAAUUAAGAUCCGGUAGAGGUAGAGCUCUUAUAAGGCUAGGGGUGUCGAGAGACAUUACCAAACCUUGUUAAACUUCGAAUGCUACCGUAAAUAUUGUGGAGUUAGACGGUGACAGCAAAUUGCCAUCGUCGAAAGGGUAACAGCCCAGAUUUCUGACUAAGGUCCCUAAAUAAUAGCUAAGUGGGAAAAGAGGUGUCGCUGCUAAGACAUCUAGGAGGUUUGCUCAGAAGCAGCAAUCCUUUAAAGAGUGCGUAACAGCUCACUAGACAAGCGGCGAUGCGCUGAAGAUGUAACGGGGCUAAGCUAUUUACCGAAGUCGAAAGUCUAUUGAUUUAUCAAUAUGGCGGUAGGAGAGUGUUGUAUACGGGUUGAAGCUGAAGUGUAAGCGACAGUGGACUGUAUACAAGUAAUAAUGCUGAUAUGAGUAACGUAUGUAGAUGAAAAUUCUACACGUCGAAUACCUAAGGUUUCCUACGCAACGUUCAUCGACGUAGGGUUAGUCAGGACCUAAGCACAUCCUGAAAAGGUGUCGCGAUGGAUAACUAGUUAAUAUUCUAGUACUUAAAAUAUGGCGAUGGAGGAACGCAUUUGGAUUCAUUGGAGCCUCUUAAGGAUUGGGGUUGUAUAUCGAGGCUUGAUAGUAGGAAAAUCCGCUAUCUUUCGGCCGAGUAAAACACGUAGUCUGAGCAAUCAGACGUAAGUUCAGUUGUUUGGGUGCCAAGAAAAUCUUCUAGCUUAACAUAUUUUAACCUGUACCGAGAACAGACACAUGUAGGUUGGUAGAGAAUACCUAGACGGUCGAAACAACUAAUAACUAAGGAACUUGGCAAAAAAGCGGACGUAACUUCGGGAUAAGUCCUUCCCACAGCAAUGUGGGACGCAGCGAAUGUCGCGGGGGCGACUGUUUAUCACAAACACAGCUUCAUGCUAACACGUAAGUGGAUGUAUAUGAAGUGAUGCCUGUCCGAUGCCAGAAUGUUAAGCUCUCUUGUUCACGCUCGGGAGUCAAGCACUGGUGAAUGACGGCCGUAACUAUGACGGUCCUAAGGUAGCGAAAUUCCUUGUCGGGUAAGUUCCGACCCGCACGAACGGCAUAACGAUCCCCGCACUGUCUCAGUUUUAGUUUCGGUGAAAUUACAAUCCCGGUGAAAAUGCCGGGUAGAUGCAGUUAGACGUGAAGACCCCGUGAAGCUUCACUAUAGAUUGGUAUUGUAUCGUAGCGUAUGUUGCUCAGCAUAAGUAGAAGGCUUUGAAGUCCAAACUCUGGUUUGGGUGGAGCCAAAAAGUGAGAUACUACUCAUUGUACGUCGCGAUACUAACCCGCCAUUGGCGGGAACAGUGCUAGUUGGGUAGUUUACCUGGGGCGGGUGCCUCCUAAAGUGUAACGGAGGUGCACAAAGGUGUUCUUGGUACGGAUGGAAACCGUAUUGUAAGUGUAUUCGCAUAAGAACGCUUGACUGUGAGACUGACAGGUCGAACAGAUACGAAAGUAGGUGAAAAUGAUCCGGAUCUUUCAAGUGGAAGAGGAUCCGCUCAACGGAUAAAAGUUACUCCGGGGAUAACAGGCUAAUGGAAUCCAAUAGUUCAUAUAGACGAUUCCGUUUGGCACCUCGAUGUCGACUCGUCGCAUCCUGGGGCUGUAGAAGGUCCCAAGGGUUGGGCUGUUCGCCCAUUAAAGCGGGACGCGAGUUGGGUUCAGAACGUCGUGAGACAGUUCGGUCCCUAUCUACUGCAUCCGUAAGCAAUUUGAAGAGUGCUGUCCCUAGUACGAGAGGACCGGGAUGGACAAGCCUCUGGUGCACCAGUUGUCGAACCAUCGGCAUAGCUGGGUAGCUAAGCUUGGAACUGAUAACCGCUGAAAGCAUCUAAGUGGGAAACAUGCUCUAAGAUUAGAUUGCUCCUAUAUCGCAAGAUAUAGAUAAGACCUCCUGGAGACUACAGGUUUGAUAGGUAACAGGUGUACGCACAGUAAUGUGUUAGCCGAGUUGU